rnacentral:lncRNA from 1 species
GACAGACGGACGAACGGACGGACGAACGAACAGACGCACAGACCAGAAAACAUAAUGCCCCUCUACUAUCGUAGGUGGGGCAUAACAACAAAAUCAAAAUUACCACGAAUAUGCAAGGUUUCCUAAAACCACGAAAAGUGGUACCCACAAAAAUACAUGAAUCCACAGUAGUACCAAAUCAUCAAUACUUUCAAAGUAUUUUGUAGCAAUUUAGAUUCUAACUGGUUCCUGUGCACUUAUUGCACAGCAGGUACCAGUAUUUAAUUUUAAAACAUAAAAAAAUGAAUAAACAUAUCAACAAUACAUUCUUUAUGAAAAUGGGUUACUUGAAUUAUUUCACCAUCUUUUUCAGUAUUUUAAUUCUAUUCUUACUACCAACAAACAGUACACAAAAAGUGAAUUAUUUAACAAAUCUUUGUUUUUGUCAGAUUUCAAAGACGUAUCUAUCUAUCAUAUAAAUAUAAGAGAAGAGUUUCUAAAUCAACAUUUUUUCACUCCAAAUGACCAGCAAUAACAAUGUGUUUUACCGUGAUUCAUUUAACCAUGAUUUUAACCUGAUGCAUGUUGGGUAUAUUUUACUGAUAGGCCAUAGAUGAAAUUUGAACCAUGAAUAAUGCACAAUUUUAAAGGACACUUGGAGAAUUUUGCAUAUAGUAAUUAGGAGAAUCUACUUUUUCUGUUUAAAAUACAUUAAAUACCACAUACUUAAACAAUAUGGUUUUUAAAAUUUAUUGCUGCAUCAUAAUUUUAGACAAUAAAAACAUAAAUGUUGUGAAACUUGUUUAAAUUGUCAAAAUAUUUU